ncrna:Taeniopygia guttata (zebra finch) microRNA tgu-mir-19b precursor (tgu-mir-19b-2)
GUCAGUUUUGCAGGUUUGCAUCCCAGCUUACUAAAAUUGCUGUGCAAAUCCAUGCAAAACUGACUGUGGUG